CACUCAUCCUGUUACAUCCAUGAAGCUGAUCCAUUUCCCUAUAAGGACGAAUCUUUGGCUGACCUCGUUGAGAUGAAUGAAGAACAUGGCAGAUGAAAUGAGAAGGAGGGGAUUAUCCAUCUGAAAACUGAGGACAUCCAGUUAAAGCUCAUCUUCUUUUAAUCUUCAUGGUUUAUCAAUGCAAGAAAAAGGCAGUGGCUGACAGAGGCAAAGGAAGUUCUUCUUACUGCUCUCAGUGGAUGAUUGAUCAUACCCGCCAGCUGGCUAAUAUCAUAAUUAACAAAGUUGCUACCACGUCUGAGAAGUAUAAUCGAAAAAUUUACCAGCAGCGUGAUGCCAUUGUCACAAAGAUCAUAAGCACUGCAGAGUCAACUUUUGCACUCGGGAGCUGCAGAACUAUGUAG
rnacentral:lncRNA from 1 species